rnacentral:rRNA from 1 species
UACAGGGGGGGCAAGCGUUGUUCGGAAUUACUGGGCGUAAAGGGUGCGUAGGCGGCGCGGUAAGUCGGGUGUGAAAUCUCGGAGCUUAACUCCGAAACUGCAUUCGAUACUGCCGUGCUUGAGGACUGGAGAGGAGACUGGAAUUUACGGUGUAGCGGUGAAAUGCGUAGAUAUCGUAAGGAAGACCAGUGGCGAAGGCGGGUCUCUGGACAGUUCCUGACGCUGAGGCACGAAGGCCAGGGGAGCAAACGGG